UGCUGGCUUCCAUCACACGUGCUACCGUAGAUUUACGGACAAAAAAUCCAUGGCAAAGGUGGAAAGACGUCUCGCACGUGAGAGACAAGAAGCGACGGAAGACCACGAGGCCAUUCCAUCGACUUCUAGCGGCACGAGUCCAACAAAGAAACUGCGAUCCAGGUCAGGGCUGCCAAUCGCAGGCUCUGGCCCGUUCUUCCUGCCCUGGGCAUAAUUUGCCAAAAAAAGGAGAAGUUCGUCAACCGAGCAGGCAAACGACAAAGGGAUACUCUGUCAAAGGCUGAAACAUUAACAGCAGGCCAAUUGCAGAAAGCUGCCGAGUUGAAGGAGGACCAAAGUAUUCUUUUGCAUAUACAAGACAAAGACUGUGUGGCUCUGGAGGUGCAGUACCACAAAGGCUGUUAUAAUCAGUACACCAGGUUUUUGAUGAGGCCUGAAAAACCAGAGAAAGAACAGAAUGAGCCCACGUUUGAUGUCAGCGAUAAGAUAUUCUGUGAAAGGAUCAUUCGCCAAAGGCUGCUUGUCAACCAAGAGGUGCUGAGAAUGGGCCAGCUGAGGAAGGCCUUCAUUGAACUGGUGAAAGCAAAUGAAGGUCUUGAUGUGUGACUGUUAAGGAGGGUGUACAGUCUGUUCGUGUUGUUGAAGACCUGCAGUGUGAUCAUGAAGAAUGUGACACAAGGGUGUUUUUACAUGCACAACAUGCUGCACGGGACCAUAAAGCUGUCAUCAUCAAGAGCUCUGACACUGAUGUGGCAGUCAUUGCUGUAAGUGUGCAGACAGAUUUCCCAUGCAGUUUAUAUGUUUUCACAGGGACUGGCAACAGGACACGUAUCAUUGACAUUACCAAGGUGUCAUCAGCUCUCGGAACCAGUGUGUGUUCAGCCUUGAUCGGAAUUCACACAUUCUCUGGGUGUGACUCCACAAGUGCCUUUUAUGGCAAAGGGAAAAAAAGACAUUUUCUGUUGCAUGUGAGAAAGGUGAGUACCUCAAGGCUUUUAAAAGUUU